rnacentral:lncRNA from 1 species
GAUGGCGAGGAUGAGGAGGACGAGGAAGCCGACGAAGACGAGAUUGUAGCAGAACAUGAGGAGGGAGACCCAGAGGAAAGUGAUGAAGAGGCGCUUGAAGACUUUUGGGAUUGCAGAGAGGGUGUUGGAGAAAGAGACGGGCUUGGAGGUGUAGAGGGAGGCGGCGGUGAAGACGACGGCGGCGGUGGAGAGGAGGGAGAAGGCGAAGAGGAAGAUGAGGUAGCAGAAUUGGAAGAGGAGGAGGAGGGUCCAUUCUUGGUGGAGCUGGGCGGGGUCGGUGGAAGGGCCUUGGAGCUGGUUGAGGAGAGGGUGGGUGAAGAGGGAGUGGGCGAGGAUGGCGAAGGAGAGAGGGAAGAUUAGGGUUAGGGUUAUGAGGUAGAAGGUUUUGGGCGACUGUUUGGGGAUGGAGGUGGAUUCUCUGAGGAUGUCAGGGAUGGUGAGAAAUUGGAGUUCCUCUGGGGCCAGAUCCAUUUGGAUUUGGAAGGUCUGUUUGGAUGAAAAGAAAAGAAAAGUUGGGUUUUUGAUUGAUGGGGUGUUGAGUUUUAGAGAGAGAGAGAGAGAUUGGAGGUCUAGAGAUUGGGGAAGAAGGCAGGAAGGAGGAAGAAGAAGAUGGUGGGGGAAAAGCGGUCAUUAUUUUAUCUAAAUGUUGAUGUGGAUACGUGCAAAGUAAUAAGCUUAUGUGGCAUGUCGGUGAUGCAUACGAAAUUAGAUCCGUUCCGAACCUUAAUGUCCAGAACUUUAGUGUGAGUUUGAUCCUUAUCGGUCUCACUCUCCCUAACAACUAAUAAUUUAACCGACUAACUCUAUUGUUUGUGAAAAAAAAAAAAAAUCGACUAUCAAUCUCAUGUCCUAGUUUUAGUAUUCUUAUAUUUGCGUUAAGCAAAUUGAUUAACGUUGUGUGUUCAAUAUCUUUGUACUAAGUUCUAAAUAUUCUGUAAAUUAGAGGGUUAUAGAUUCGAGCCCAACCACGCGUUUUUUAAGAACUCAAUCAAUGUAGUUAUAACCCAAUUAUCUUGUUCAAUUCAGAUCUAAUUUGUUUUACGUUCAUGGAAAGAUGAUAUAAGGCUAUAUGCAAGAUAUUAUUCAAUUUGAAAAAUCGUUUAAUCAUCAUGGACGUAGGCACGUUAACCACAUAUUUUUUAAGAACUCAAUCAAUGUUAUUGACACCGGUCAUUUUCUUUACGUUCAUGGAAAGAUGAUAUAUGCAAGAUAUUAUUCAAUUUGAAAAAUCGUUUAAUCAUCAUUGACAUAGGCACGUUAAACACACUUGAAUGCCAAAAACCAGAGCAAAGAUCACCCUUAGAGCAAGUCCA